AGGCCGUUGGCCGGCAGGCUAAACAUGCAAGUCGGGCGGUAACAGGAAGCAGCUUGCUGCUUUGCUGACGAGCGGCGGACGGGUGAGUAAUGUCUGGGGAUCUGCCCGAUGGAGGGGGAUAACCACUGGAAACGGUGGCUAAUACCGCAUAACCUCUGUGGAGCAAAGUGGGGGACCUUCGGGCCUCACGCCAUCGGAUGAACCCAGAUGGGAUUAGCUAGUAGGUGGGGUAACGGCUCACCUAGGCGACGAUCCCUAGCUGGUCUGAGAGGAUGACCAGCCACACUGGGACUGAGACACGGCCCAGACUCCUACGGGAGGCAGCAGUGGGGAAUAUUGCACAAUGGGCGCAAGCCUGAUGCAGCCAUGCCGCGUGUAUGAAGAAGGCCUUCGGGUUGUAAAGUACUUUCAGCGGGGAGGAAGGCGUGAAGUCGAAUACACUUCACGAUUGACGUUACCCGCAGAAGAAGCACCGGCUAACUCCGUGCCAACAGCCGCGGUAAUACGGAGGGUGCCAAGCC
rnacentral:rRNA from 1 species